UCAUUCAUUGCUUUUGAGCUGUGGAGAGGUGAUGGUGGAGGAUAGAAUCCAGUUUGGGAAUUGAAGAGAUGAAUCUUCCUAUCAUAGAUUUCUACUCAGCUGAAUCAGACCGUCUUUCCACUGCCAUUUCCAUCCGUCAGGCGUGCAUUGAGUAUGGUUUCUUUUACCUUGUGAACCAUGGGGUGGAGAAUGACUUGGUCAGAGCCUUUGAUGAGAGUAAGAGGUUCUUCUCACUUCCAUUGGAAGACAAAAUGAAGUUGGCCUACAAGGAAUUUAGAGGCUAUACUCCUCCUGAUCCUUCUUUGGGACUCCAAGGUGAUUCAAAAGAGAGCUAUUACAUUGGUCCUUUGUCAGAUUCAACAAGUGCUAAUCUGAAUCAAUGGCCUUCACAAGAAUUACUUGGAAAUUGCAGACCAUCAAUAGAAUCCAUGUAUUGGAAACUCUUCGGAGUUGGAAAAAAACUGUUAUCUCUAAUUGCCCUUUCCUUGAAUAUGGAUGAAGAUUUCUUUGAGAAGAUAGGUGCCGAGGACAAACCAGCAGCUUUUCUUCGCCUUUUGCACUAUCCAGGUGUAAUGGGACCUCACGAUGAGAUCUGCUCAGCUAUUCAGAUUUUGGCACGCUCACCCUCUUAGUGACCGAUGGAGUCCCAGGACUGCAGGGCCUUUAUUGUGAACAUCGGUGACUUGAUGGAGAGGUGGACUAAUUGUUUAUAUCGGUCAACAAUGCAUCGGGUUAAACAAACUGGCAAAGAACGCUAUUCGGUAAUUAUAAGCUACUUUUCUCAGUCGCUUCAUUUUGUCAUAUUUGUUCCAUUAACUUUUUCGAAUCAUAGUUUAUGAGGAAUAGAGACUUUUAUUCCAAUGUAGGAGAAUAUAUAUGUUUCUUUUUUUCUUCCUAUCAAGGAGUGUGCUUCACUAGGUAAGAUGCUUGGACGACAUAGCAACACUUUCAAUUAGGUACAUGAAUCAAAGACACCGAUA